rnacentral:rRNA from 1 species
AGUCGAGCGGUAACAGGAGUAGCUUGCUACUCGCUGACGAGCGGCGGACGGGUGAGUAACGCGUAGGAAUCUGCCUAAUAGUUGGGGAUAGCCCGGGGAAACCCGGAUUAAUACCGAAUACGCUCUACGGAGGAAAGCAGGGGAUCUUCGGACCUUGCGCCAUUAGAUGAGCCUGCGUGAGAUUAGCUAGUUGGUGAGGUAAUGGCUCACCAAGGCGACGAUCUCUAGCUGGUCUGAGAGGAUGAUCAGCCACACUGGGACUGAGACACGGCCCAGACCCCUACGGGAGGCAGCAGUGGGGAAUAUUGCACAAUGGGCGCAAGCCUGAUGCAGCCAUACCGCGUGUGUGAAGAAGGCCUUAGGGUUGUAAAGCACUUUCAGUAGUGAGGAAAGGGGUGUAGUUAAUACCUGCAUCCUGUGACGUUAGCUACAGAAGAAGCACCGGCUAAUUCCGUGCCAGCAGCCGCGGUAAUACGGAAGGUGCGAGCGUUAAUCGGAAUUACUGGGCGUAAAGC